UACGGGAGGCAGCAGUGGGGAAUAUUGCACAAUGGGCGCAAGCCUGAUGCAGCCAUGCCGCGUGUAUGAAAAAGGCCUUCGGGUUGUAAAGUACUUUCAGUCGUGAGGAAGGUGUUAAGGUUAAUAACCUUAGCAAUUGACGUUAGCGACAGAAGAAGCACCGGCUAACUCCGUGCCAGCAGCCGCGGUAAUACGGAGGGUGCGAGCGUUAAUCGGAAUUACUGGGCGUAAAGGGCACGCAGGCGGUUAAUUAAGUUGGAUGUGAAAUCCCCGGGCUUAACCUGGGAAUGGCAUUCAAGACUGGUUAGCUAGAGUCUUGUAGAGGGGGUUAGAAUUCCAUGUGUAGCGGUGAAAUGCGUAGAGAUGUGGAGGAAUACCGGUGGCGAAGGCGGCCCCUGGACAAAGGCUGACGCUCAUGUGCGAAAGCGUGGGGAGCGAAACAGGGAUUAGAUACC
rnacentral:rRNA from 1 species